GUGCUCGCUUUGGCAGCACACAUACUAAAAUUGGAAGGAUAUAGAGAAGAUUAGCAUGGCCCCAGCGCAAGGAUGGCACGCAAAUUUGUGAAGGGUUCCAUAUAUUU
rnacentral:snRNA from 1 species